rnacentral:rRNA from 1 species
UACGUAGGGUGCAAGCGUUGUCCGGAAUUACUGGGCGUAAAGGGUUCGUAGGUGGCUUGCUAAGUCAGACGUGAAAUCCCUCAGCUUAACUGGGGAACUGCGUCUGAGACUGGUGAGCUUGAGUGCAGGAGAGGAACGCGGAAUUCCAGGUGUAGCGGUGUAAUGCGUAGAUAUCUGGAGGAACACCGGUGGCGAAGGCGGCGUUCUGGACUGCUACUGACACUGAGGAACGAAAGCCAGGGGAGCAAACGGG